rnacentral:rRNA from 1 species
GACGAACGCUGGCGGCGUGCUUAACACAUGCAAGUCGAACGGAAAGGCCCUGCUUUUGUGGGGUGCUCGAGUGGCGAACGGGUGAGUAACACGUGAGUAACCUGCGCUUGACUUUGGGAUAACUUCAGGAAACUGGGGCUAAUACCGGAUAGGAGCUCCUGCUGCAUGGUGGGGGUUGGAAAGUUUCGGCGGUUGGGGAUGGACUCGCGGCUUAUCAGCUUGUUGGUGGGGUAGUGGCUUACCAAGGCUUUGACGGGUAGCCGGCCUGAGAGGGUGACCGGCCACAUUGGGACUGAGAUACGGCCCAGACUCCUACGGGAGGCAGCAGUGGGGAAUAUUGCACAAUGGGCGGAAGCCUGAUGCAGCAACGCCGCGUGCGGGAUGACGGCCUUCGGGUUGUAAACCGCUUUCGCCUGUGACGCAGCGUGAGUGACGGUAAUGUGUAAAGAAGCACCGGCUAACUACGUG